ensembl:lncRNA novel transcript
GGCAGAGCUGGGCAGAGCCCGCCUCGGAGGCUCCUGGCUGCCCCUCUCUGGGUGUGGGGCCUGUGGGGCGACUCUAUUCAGGAAGGAUCUGUCUACUUGAUGCAGGAACAAGCCCAGUAAAGCCUGCACUGCAGCUGAAGGAACGAUCUGUUUGUUCUCUAAGAGGCCCCUGCAGGCGGGAGAUGUCUUAAAUAACCACCCGCAGGCAGAGAGUAAAGGACUCAGUGAAGAAAGAAACUGGAGCUCAGUCCUUUGAGGGCAGAAACGCAUCCCCCACACCCGUCCGUGAGCUGAGCACGGCCACGCCUGGGCUUUGUGGGAGCCUGGCCAGGCCCAGCUCCUGCCCUUUGCUGAACAGGGAGUAAGGGGAAGUUAGAUAGCUGCAGGGACGUCCUUAGCCUGACUGGUCCAGCCACCUCACUAGCACGUGGGGCAGAUGAAGCUCAGGGAAGCCAAGGGACUUUUCCCGGAUCCCCAGGGAAUAGGACCUGAGGUCCCAGCUCCUGACUCCAAAAUCAGUGCUCUCUCUAUGGCCUGAGGUUGCUCAGCACCUGCCAGGCCUGCGCGGAGCACUUCAGAAUCAUUAGCCCAUUUAACCCCGACUGCCACAAACACAUGAGGGAUAUGCUGAGUGUUGCUUUUCUACUAACAGACCCCAUAUCUCUGCCCACAUGUAUGCCGAACAUCAGGCCAUUCCCAUUCCAGUGACUCAGCAGUGAAGAAGUCACCCAUCUCGGGUUUAAAAUUAACUGCAAUAUGCGAAAGAGACAAUUCCGCCUGGUGGGGAGGUGUCACCCACUCAGAGAACACCCCUGACCUUCCCAAGGAAGCCCUCUGCACUCCGACGCCAUGUCCCCGUGACCUGCACAGGACUGUCACCAUCUGGAAUUGAUGCCCUCUCUUGCAGUUUUGCUAUUGUCAUUUGCACCCACAGGAAUGUCACCCACAUGAGUGUGGAAUUUCAUCUGUCUGUUCGCUGCUGGAUCCCUGCUCUAAGUAAGAAAAUGGCCUGUGGCAGAGUGAGCUCUGCAUGAGGAUUUGCUGAAGAAUUGGAUGAGGGAAAGACUCAGAGAAUGGAAUACUGAGAAUUCUACAAUAAAUAUUUGAAUCCUAGAAUGUUGGAUUCAGGAGAAGCCCUUGGAAGCCAUUUAGGCAAACCCAUUCAUUUGCAAAGGGGUAAACUGAGGCUGAGGAGAAAAAAGUGACUUGCUCCACAUCCCAAGGCCCAAGGGUCUUCUCCCUGCUCUGAUGGGAGAGGGCCCCACUUUGUGCUGUUGUGUGUGUAAGGGUGAUGUGUGGCUGGAGGGUGAAGGGGCUUCUUCUGCUCUUUGACUCAUUGCCUAGGAAAAUAGGGACAAAAGGCACAAAUUUGUUAAAAUGCAAAUGACUGAAGGCAACCUCAUUUAUGAGAGACAGAGCUGUUGUUUGGAUUAACAGAGGAACAGAAAUGCCGCCCUGAGGAUGAGGAGAUAAGAAGGGGCUGAAAGGUGGGUGAGCCCCAAAUGUGACCUUCAACUCUUGGGAGGCCAUAGGCAAGGACUCAGCCAAGGCAAAACCCUCAAGAAUUUAAUUUACCGACAGAAACAUUCACAGACCGCCCUCGGGGCCUGAGGUCUUUCCAAAGACAAGUCCGAGUGUGUGUUCCCGGCCGAGGCCCUUCCUCCGGCUUCUGUAUUAGCUUCCCGGGUCCGCUCUAACAAACAACCACAAACUGGUGGCUGAAACCAUCAGAACACUUUUCCUUACAGUUCAGGAGGCCAGAAAGCUGGAGUCGGGGUAUUGGCAAGGUCAGUCCUUCCGGAGGCUCCAGGGAGAAACUGUUCCCCGCCUCCUCCCAAGCUCCCGCGGUCCCGGUCCCUGCAAACCUUGGGAUCCUUGGCUGGCAGAUGCUUGGCUCUGAUCUCUGCCUCUGUGGUCACAUGAUGUCCUCCCCAUGUGUCCUCACGCGGCCUGCUUACAAGGACACAAAUCACUGCACCCAGGACCCACUGUAAUCCAGUGUGGCUUCAGUUUUACCUAACUAAGUACAUUUGCAAAGGCCCUGUUUCCAACUAAGAUGCACGCUGAGGUUCUGGAUGGACCUGAACUUGCAGGGGACACUCUUCAACCCAGGACAGCUUCCCCUUACCCCCCGAUUAGCAUCCAAACCCCUCCCAUGACUGAGGCUACAGGGCGGAUGUGGGUGAAGGUGCAGAGCCCGAUGCCCAGGUGAGGGCCCAGCUGGUCACCACCCCAUCUGCCUGUGCUCAGCAGGUCAGGGUCCCAGCUGUCCACUCCCUGCUAUAGGUUGGCACACCCCCUUCUCUUGCCCUGUGCUGUCCCAGGGCCCCCUCCUUGCCCUGUGCAGUGAAAGUGACCUGCUUUGGACAUGCAGCCCCUGUGGUUCUGAUGCAGGCGGGGACUGGGGAUGCGCCUGGGGCUCUGGUUUGGUUCUGGGCUUCUGUCAUUCACUACAAAAGGACCCUGAGGAGCCGCCGCCCUGAGGCUGAGGAGAGCUCCGCAGGGUGGACGGGAACCUGAUCCCGGGGCCCAGCCCCCGUGCCUCUCAGCAGGAAGCAGAGUCCCCCGAUGGAGCCCAACAAGCCCAAGGGACCCCAGCUCAGAUCAGCUGAGCCCCGACGACCUGCAGCCCCAGGAGCUGAGACGUGGCGGCGGUUGUGCGUCACUGAGUUUGGGAUGGUUUGUGAUGGGGUAUUACCGUGACAACAGCUGAGUAGUACAGAAAUGUGAUGCUGGGCACAGACUGACCUCUCAGUCUCCCCAUCUGUACAAUGGGCUAAUAACAGAUUAGCAGGUGGCUGUGAAGAUUAAAAGAGAACAUACGUGUAAAGUGGCGCACGGAUCAAUGCGCAUCGGCUCCCAGCAUCAUCACACGGGCCACACGACCCUGCCGUCUCAUACUGUCCUCCUCGGUCACCCUGGCUGGAGGCAAAGCCCUCCCCCGUUUCCGGAAAUCUCCGACUCUUUGCACUCUUCAUCAGUCUUCACUUGGGUGGAUUGUUCUGCUGUCUAGAGCUCAACUCGAACAGCCCCUCCGCCAAAGGGCUUCCCUGAGAGCCGUGUCUGCAGCCGAGGCUCCUCCCCCUCCUGCUGGAGGUCCAGGGUCCGUGGGUGCACGGGGGGCAGCCCAGGAUGGCAGGGACUCUGGCUCUUUUGCCCUCUGGUGUGUCCCCAGGACCUAGACCCGGCCUGACACUACUCCUGGUGGACUUAUUGUUAGAAAUUGGCAGGUCCUUGCUAUUCAUGUCUGUUUCCUCCAGUCUUGCUGCUGAGCACCUGAUGAACUUCAAACAAUAGCAAUGUCUGGAGCCAGGUGCUGAUGACCCCCAGGAGGAAAGUUGCAGAGGAUGACGGGAACAAGGGGGAUGGGCAGGAGUCUAAGCAGGCGCUCAGGGAGGCACCUUUGAGAAGGUGACAUGGGGCAAGGAUGCUGAAGGAAUGGAGGUCUCAUGGAUUCUAGGGGAGAUGGUCCAAGGCAGAGGGACAGCCAGUGUGGGCCUGGACAGGUGUGUGUAGUGUGUCUGAGGGGCAGGGGGCAAUGUGUCUAGAGGAAGAUGUGCAAGGAGGACACUGGGGGCUGAGGUCAGAGGGGACACAACUGGAUCUGUGCGUGACCUUGCAUGCCGCUGAAAGGGCGCUGGCUGUCACUGUCAUGACCAGAGCCUCUAAGCAGGUCUUCACAGAGGUCAGGCUGACUGCACUUGUGGAUGGAUUGAACAGCAGUAGUAAGAGGACAGCAUGCAUAGAUGAGGGAGGACUCCCAGGAUUUGGGCUGCACAGCUGGAAGAAGGGAGGAGCUCCUGAAUGAGGAGUGGGAGGUCCGGGAAGGGCAGCCUUGGUGGAGAGAGAUGCCGGGACCUGCAGAGAAACCCCCUGAAAAGAAGGGGGCUGAGCCAGCUCUACCCCAGGCUCAGGGCCUUCCUUCACUGUAACUGCCAGGACGAUCCACCAUGCUGUCACUCAGAGAGUGAAACCAGCCUGACUUUGCACUUGUGUCUCUGAGGGAUAAAGGUCAAUGUCACAGCAGACUCCACUCUGAUGCUGUCUUCAAGCCAAAACCUUAAUAUUCAAUGAGAAAUCUGCAUUGAUGAAAUGUUCAUUAAAUA